AGUCGAACGAUGAAGCCCAGCUUGCUGGGUGGAUUAGUGGCGAACGGGUGAGUAACACGUGAGUAACCUGCCCUUAACUCUGGGAUAAGCCUGGGAAACUGGGUCUAAUACCGGAUAGGAGCGUCCACCGCAUGGUGGGUGUUGGAAAGAUUUAUCGGUUUUGGAUGGACUCGCGGCCUAUCACUUGUUGGUGACGUAAUGGCUCACCAAGGCGACGACGGGUAGCCGGCCUGAGAGGGUGACCGGCCACACUGGGACUGAGACACGGCCCAGACUCCUACGGGAGGCAGCAGUGGGGAAUAUUGCACAAUGGGCGAAAGCCUGAUGCAGCGUCGCCGCGUGAGGGAUGACGGCCUUCGGGUUGUAAACCUCUUUCAGUAGGGAAGAAGCGAAAGUGACGGUACCUGCAGAAGAAGCACCGGCUAACUACGUGCCAGCAGCCGCGGUAAUACGUAGGGUGCGAGCGUUAUCCGGAAUUAUUGGGCGUAAAGAGCUCGUAGGCGGUUUGUCGCGUCUGUCGUGAAAGUCCGGGGCUUAACCCCGGAUCUGCGGUGGGUACGGGCAGACUAGAGUGCAGUAGGGGAGACUGGAAUUCCUGGUGUAGCGGUGGAAUGCGCAGAUAUCAGGAGGAACACCGAUGGCGAAGGCAGGUCUCUGGGCUGUAACUGACGCUGAGGACCGAAAGCAUGGGGAGGAACAGGAUUAGAUACCCUGGUAGUCCAUGCCGUAAACGUUGGGCACUAGGUGUGGGGACCCUUCCACGGUUUCCGCGCCGCAGCUAACGCAUUAAGUGCCCCGCCUGGGGAGUACGGCCGCAAGGCUAAAACUCAAAGGAAUUGACGGGGGCCCGCACAAGCGGCGGAGCAUGCGGAUUAAUUCGAUGCGACGCGAAGAACCUUACCAAGGCUUGACAUGUUCCCGAUCGCCGUAGAGAUACGAUUUCCCCUUUGGGGCGGGUUCACAGGUGGUGCAUGGUUGUCGUCAGCUCGUGUCGUGAAUGUUGGGUUAAGUCCCGCUACGAGCGCAACCCUCGUUCCAUGUUGCCAGCACGUAAUGGUGGGGACUCAUGGGAGACUGCCGGGGUCAACUCGGAGGAAGGUGA
rnacentral:rRNA from 1 species